UGGGGAAUAUUGCACAAUGGGCGCAAGCCUGAUGCAGCCAUGCCGCGUGUGUGAAGAAGGCCUUCGGGUUGUAAAGCACUUUCAGCGAGGAGGAAGGCAUUAAGGUUAAUAACCUUAGUGAUUGACGUUACUCGCAGAAGAAGCACCGGCUAACUCCGUGCCAGCAGCCGCGGUAAUACGGAGGGUGCAAGCGUUAAUCGGAAUUACUGGGCGUAAAGCGCACGCAGGCGGUUUGUUAAGUCAGAUGUGAAAUCCCCGAGCUUAACUUGGGAACUGCAUUUGAAACUGGCAAGCUAGAGUCUUGUAGAGGGG
rnacentral:rRNA from 1 species